AUGCACGCUGGCGGCGUGCCUCAUCCAUGCAAGUCGAGCGAACAGACGAGGAGCUUGCUCCUCUGACGUUAGCGGCGGACGGGUGAGUAACACGUGGAUAACCUACCUAUAAGACUGGGAUAACUUCGGGAAACCGGAGCUAAUACCGGAUAAUAUAUUGAACCGCAUGGUUCAAUAGUGAAAGACGGUUUUGCUGUCACUUAUAGAUGGAUCCGCGCCGCAUUAGCUAGUUGGUAAGGUAACGGCUUACCAAGGCAACGAUGCGUAGCCGACCUGAGAGGGUGAUCGGCCACACUGGAACUGAGACACGGUCCAGACUCCUACGGGAGGCAGCAGUAGGGAAUCUUCCGCAAUGGGCGAAAGCCUGACGGAGCAACUCCGCGUGAGUGAUGAAGGUCUUCGGAUCGUAAAACUCUGUUAUUAGGGAAGAACAAAUGUGUAAGUAACUAUGCACGUCUUGACGGUACCUAAUCAGAAAGCCACGGCUAACUACGUG
rnacentral:rRNA from 1 species